rnacentral:lncRNA from 1 species
CAAGUCCCUGGUAGGUUCGUCCUUGCUCUGAGGGAAGAGUGUGGGCCACAGGCCAUGGGGACACUCUGAGGAUGUGGGUGCUGCCCAUCUUGAAGUUUCUCCCCACCCCUCUCCGGAGCUGCUACCAUUGUCCUUUGCCCUCGGAGUGCUCUCCUCCCACCCCCGCCGCCUCUUGUUCUCUUUCUCCCUUGAGCCGUUAGAAUGGCAGGGAGCCCAGCCAGGGCCUGGACGGCGGCCUCAGCUCCCUGUUCUCAAUAAUUGUGUGUGUGUGCAUGUGUGCAUGUGUACGUGUGAGUGCCUGUGUGUGUGCAUUGUGUGUAGGGGCUGGGGCUGGAGUCGACAACAGAUCAGAGCACAGGAGUAGAGCGCUUCUGGGAGGGUGGGGCCACCCGUGAGUCACGUCCUGCACCCUGGAGCCCAGAGGACCCUUCGCUCAAACCCACCACCAGCUGGCAACACCGGACCAGACCAGCCGGAGCCGCUUUCUUCGCUGCGCAGAGGAGCCUGGGAGAAGCCAGAGGUGUAAGUCAAGCUGUGGAGGGACUGGGUGUGGCUGAGCCCCGUGACAAGUGGGAGGAGCCAGGGAUGCUUGGGAGGGGAGGCACUGUGCGCGAGAGAGGAGGGAAAGGGGAAGCGUUCGUGCCUCUCUGCCCCCUGUCCCCCUCUUGCUGCAUAGUAGCCACAUCCAUGUCUCUUGUACCCUGCAAUCUGGAGGCCACUGCCAGAAGCUGGAAAUCUCAAGUAGAGCAGCAAAAGGCUUGAGGAUGGAUUCUUGGCUCCUGGUGCAUUGCCACUCCCUGCCACCCUCCUCCUUGUCUUCUAUCUUCUCCUGGUGGCGUCAGGCCUUGCUUCGUGUCCCAACAGGAGCCUCUGGGGCUGGCACAGCCCUCACUGCCUACAACCUGGGCCUGGUGGUUCUCCUAGGGUGCCUCUGGGAGGCAUCUUCCUGGAGACAGGAAGGUAGGCACUGUGGAAUCAGCGGUGCGUAGAACAGUGAGGAUUUGGGGCUGAACCCAGCCCAGGUGGGCCAAGCCGUGGCACCAGCCGGACUGCAGUCUGAUGGAACUUCCCCUUCCUGCCCAGCAGAUGGCGAGCGUGUGCUGCUGGUGCCUCUUUCCAAAGGACGUUGAAUUGCUUGACAGCCCUGCCCAGCAUCUAGAAGACCACCUGAAGCUUUCACACUUUGAGACCUUAGAUCCUGCGAGGGUUUGAAUUUCAAAAGCUUCAAUUAAAGCACACAGUGUUCUUUACUUUAUGAAUGAAGCCAGAGCAGCCCACCUUCCUGCAUCUCUACCACCAUGGCACCAUGCCCUGUGAUGGGUGGGCUGGAGUCAAAUAUGUAGCAGGCAGCCAGGGUCAGUUUGUGGCCACUGCUGCCCCCUCUUCCUACAGUCUCCUCACUGAGUGCCCCUUCCCUGUUGGGUUCAACACAUCUGUGCUCCUGUAAGCCCUCAGCCUCCUCGUUCUCUUCCUCAACUUCUACCACCAGACACAUCUGAGAAGCAAGCAAGAGAGGCUGAACUAGGAGCAGGACCCAGGGACUGAAACCAGCACAGCAUCCCCACAGAGAAUUGGGUGGAAGGCAGCAUGGCUUCCAGCUUACUGGUGCUGAGCAGAUUGCUCUGGGUCUCCAUUGUAUCCUCUGAAGGAAGGAGGAGGAUUGCCUUCUGUCCAGAUCUCAGGAUCAAACAAAUAGGUCCAAUUUCCUGUGCUCACUUCAGUUAGAGCACUUCUCAUGUGACUUUGUAGCUUUGUGUGCAUCUCCUUCCUCUACUAGACCUAAGCCCCUCACGGGAGGGACUCUCUUAUUCUUGAUGUUCCCCACACCUGGAAUUUCAAUAAACAUCUCAAUAAACGUGUGUGUUUGGAUCCUUGGAUCCCAUGACUGCCGUCAUAACCUUGGUGAAGAAGAGGGCUGGGAGUAGGAAAGAGGUCAAGGUUCGCUUGAUCUCUAACCCUAUAGUGGGAAAUUGUGACGGAGAAUAUUCAAGAGUGGGUGUGGGUCUGUUUGAUUUCAGGUGUAGCUGUGUAAAUAGUUAGCCCUGCAUAUAUUUUUGUCUACUCACAACUGCCUGCAUGUGUAUUCAUAGAGUUGUGUGAUUCUGUGUAUGUGCCUGGGGAGUGGGAGAGGGCCAUGUGCACAUGUCUGAAUACUUGUUUUCAAAUAUACAUGCAUGUUUCCAUUUGGGUUUCUCUCCAUUUGUGUUGUUUGCCUGCCUCUUCUGUAAGUCUCUGAAAGUGCCACAUUGGCAAAUAAAAGCCACUGGGAUCAAUAAUUCUCCUGUUCUGAUGGGAGACAUGGAAGCCCACUGAGAAAUCUCCGAAUACAUGUUCCACUAAGAGCUUCCAAAAAUAAAUGGGAAAAAAGGAGAAAUGGGGCACACCCAUCUUCUUCACAGAGAGGGAAACUGAGGACCAGCAAAGGGGAAUAUAUGACUGAGAUACUAUGGCAGAAGCAAAUAUUGGCUGAGCUGUUCAAACCCAGAAUAGGAUGGGUUUCUUGAAAGCAGUUUGCCUGGGAGCUGUCUCUAUGUCUCCAGUAUGAUGACUUUUCUCCUUUAUAAUUGCCCUUCGGCUGUUUUUCAUCUCUAGGUAAGUUCUUAUUUUGCCAUGCCUCAAUAGUCAAGAAAAUUAAAGAAUUGCUGAAGGUUAUGCAGUGCUAUUUGGGGACUGUGUCUCCAUCUGGCCUUUUAGUUAAUCAACCCAAGGCCAGGCAAGGCUACAUCCUGUGGACAGAAUACUCAGAGAAAAUUCC